rnacentral:lncRNA from 1 species
CGCAUUUUCCUUGGCACAGCUCUCCCCGAGCUAGAAGGAGAGGGAGGUACCCGGGGGCAGUGAGAAUGACGUGUGCUGGUGCAGAGAGGGCGUGGGGGGCUGCGGGCCAGGCGCUGUGGACCGGCUCCUAAUCCUCUUGUUUUCGGUACUGUCAGCAGAUGUGGCUUCUUUUAGCUGAAUAAUCCGUUAAAAGAAUAAUAAUUUUUAAAAAGGAGAUCGACCUCACCCAAAGAGGACGGCGAACAGGAUUAGGGCUUGUAGAUCUACUGCCUUUCGUUGGGCUGGCUGAAACGCUGCGGACUGAGACCAGUCUCUUCAAAAGGAAGAACAUAAAGAGGAAGACCUUGAGUGGACCCCCGGACAAAGCACUUUGGGCUCGGCGAGAAGGGACGCGCGGGAGCGCUGGCUCGGAAACAGUGAUCUCCGGUGCCCAAGGGCGCCCGCCCGGCGCACGGACCUCUGAGGGCAUUCGGGCUGAAUUUGAUUUAUCCUUUUGGGAUCCAGCCGCAUUAGACACGAGUGACCUUUUAAAUCUACGCCCACUCUUUACCUGCGAGAGGACUGCAGCAGGCGAGUUCCGGAAGGCUGACUGCCCAGAUCCCGGCCCCGGCCCGCGGCAGCGGCCCCCGCGGCACGCCCGGCCGGGCUGCGCCUGGACUCCGUGAGCAAGGAAAAAGCCUGGAUCCGAAAGGAUGGGGGAGAACAAAGAGCCUUUGGAAGACGUCGCUGUUAUCUCAUUGUCUGUGUGAUUGGGGAGCUGCGAGACGGCCCAGGCCCAGAUCUCUGUUUAAGCGGAAAGAAAUUGAUCCUUUAACAAAGACAAAGAAUGGAGUCCUCUGGGGGCAGCUGCACAGCAUUCUCCCUAGGACAGAUGGAGCCUCCCCUCCACAUCUACUCUGUGGGUGGUUUUAAAGCCCCAUGAGUCAACACGGGCUGAGGUUUGUGCUGGUGCUGUGUGUGUUUGAGGCUUGCCUGGCUGAUUCACGGUGAUGCGUAUGUCAAUAAUAACAAUUAUGAGAAUUAUGAUACCUAAUAAAGAUUUUUUUUUCUUCCAAGUCCCAC